CAUCUUUAAGGUUCCCCCUUAAAACAAAUAUAUUUGGAAAAGAGAAGAACAUUAAGUUGUGACAGCACUCGGACUGUCAAGGUUGGUUGGGCGAUAUUUUGUAGCUGGGAGCUGCCAAUCCUAUCAUUAUUUCUGGAUUUCACUAGCUUGUAUAUUAUAGCAGAAACUGAAUUCACGAGAGGGCGAAAGUAUGGCUAGUACUGAGCCUGAGGUUAGACAUUUAGGAUGUUUCUGCUCUGUACAUUUGGUAUCUCUUCCAUUUUAUUUAUACGAUGAGGGUGCAAAUGAGUUGAAACCGAA